rnacentral:lncRNA from 1 species
AGUGAAACCAUCCAAGAAAAUGAAACUGAUCUCUGUGGACUCCUAAAUCGAUCUCAGCACUCACCAGUGCAUCCACCGAGACUUACAUAGCAGCUUCACAGCAUUAACUGAGUCCGAAUACAACAGAUUCUGGCCCAGUGAUGGAAGAGCAAAGGAGAUUGAGGCUCAGAGCAGUCAAGCUUCUCAUUUAAAGUUACUGCAAAGAAAGUUCAUCUCAGAAAGAUGGCCAACUAUGAAUUUUCAAUGUAGAUAAUUAGGUGACUGUACAGCUAUUUUUGGAGGUGUAGAGGCACAAAUGUGUGUCUCCUUAUGGCCUGGAAGACUGACCAGGACAAAUGAUACAACAGGAUUUUAACCAGAAGCCUUCUCACAAAUUCCAACCAGCAACACACUUCAAUAAAGAAGGAAAGCUACAAAUGGGCAGUGCCUCAGCUCCUGAAAUUACAAGAUGGAGAAAAAUCACACUGCCCAUGUGAGAGUUUAAG